GUGGUGUGCUCAGAGCAGAGGCCCUGAAGAAAUGGCUUACUGUUUACAACACACCCAACAGGAAUCUGGGUUCAUUGUGACAGGAGACACAAAAUAUGUGGCCUUUCCGUGAGCAAGUACCCAACACAU
ensembl:snoRNA